GCAGCCGCCGCGGGAAUACAGAGGGUGCGAGCGUUAAUCGGAUUUACUGGGCGUAAAGCGUGCGUAGGCGGCUAAUUGAGUCGGAUGUGAAAUCCCCGAGCUUAACUUGGGAAUUGCAUUCGAUACUGGUUAGCUAGAGUGUGGGAGAGGAUGGUAGAAUUCCAGGUGUAGCGGUGAAAUGCAUAGAGAUCUGGAGGAAUACCGAUGGCGAAGGCAGCCAUCUGGCCUAACACUGACGCUGAGGUACGAAAGCAUGGGGAGCAAACAGGAUUAGAUACCCCCGUAGUCCCUGUCUCUUAUAC
rnacentral:rRNA from 1 species